rnacentral:rRNA from 1 species
CCUGGCUCAGGAUGAACGCUAGCUACAGGCUUAACACAUGCAAGUCGAGGGGCAGCAUGGUCUUAGCUUGCUAAGGCCGAUGGCGACCGGCGCACGGGUGAGUAACACGUAUCCAACCUGCCGUCUACUCUUGGACAGCCUUCUGAAAGGAAGAUUAAUACAAGAUGGCAUCAUGAGUCCGCAUGUUCACAUGAUUAAAGGUAUUCCGGUAGACGAUGGGGAUGCGUUCCAUUAGAUAGUAGGCGGGGUAACGGCCCACCUAGUCUUCGAUGGAUAGGGGUUCUGAGAGGAAGGUCCCCCACAUUGGAACUGAGACACGGUCCAAACUCCUACGGGAGGCAGCAGUGAGGAAUAUUGGUCAAUGGGCGAGAGCCUGAACCAGCCAAGUAGCGUGAAGGAUGACUGCCCUAUGGGUUGUAAACUUCUUUUAUAAAGGAAUAAAGUCGGGUAUGGAUACCCGUUUGCAUGUACUUUAUGAAUAAGGAUCGGCUAACUCCGUGCCAGCAGCCGCGGUAAUACGGAGGAUCCGAGCGUUAUCCGGAUUUAUUGGGUUUAAAGGGAGCGUAGAUGGAUGUUUAAGUCAGUUGUGAAAGUUUGCGGCUCAACCGUAAAAUUGCAGUUGAUACUGGAUAUCUUGAGUGCAGUUGAGGCAGGCGGAAUUCGUGGUGUAGCGGUGAAAUGCUUAGAUAUCACGAAGAACUCCGAUUGCGAAGGCAGCCUGCUAAGCUGCAACUGACAUUGAGGCUCGAAAGUGUGGGUAUCAAACAGGAUUAGAUACCCUGGUAGUCCACACGGUAAACGAUGAAUACUCGCUGUUUGCGAUAUACAGCAAGCGGCCAAGCGAAAGCGUUAAGUAUUCCACCUGGGGAGUACGCCGGCAACGGUGAAACUCAAAGGAAUUGACGGGGGCCCGCACAAGCGGAGGAACAUGUGGUUUAAUUCGAUGAUACGCGAGGAACCUUACCCGGGCUUAAAUUGCAGAUGAAUUACGGUGAAAGCCGUAAGCCGCAAGGCAUCUGUGAAGGUGCUGCAUGGUUGUCGUCAGCUCGUGCCGUGAGGUGUCGGCUUAAGUGCCAUAACGAGCGCAACCCUUGUUGUCAGUUACUAACAGGUUCCGCUGAGGACUCUGACAAGACUGCCAUCGUAAGAUGUGAGGAAGGUGGGGAUGACGUCAAAUCAGCACGGCCCUUACGUCCGGGGCUACACACGUGUUACAAUGGGGGGUACAGAGGGCCGCUACCACGCGAGUGGAUGCCAAUCCCAAAAACCUCUCUCAGUUCGGACUGGAGUCUGCAACCCGACUCCACGAAGCUGGAUUCGCUAGUAAUCGCGCAUCAGCCACGGCGCGGUGAAUACGUUCCCGGGCCUUGUACACAC